CAGCUCUCGAAGAGAAAAGUGCUUUUUCUUCUCCUGUCCCCCGAUGUCAACGACAAGGAUUUCUUUGCUGAUCCCAUAAGACUCCUCUGGCCGGCGUCCCAUCCGAAGUCGUUUCUUGAAUGAGAGACGGCUUGAUGGUGCUCAGAUGGAGAGAGUAUUGUCAGAGGAGCUGCAUGUGACUAAUCAGGACUGGGCUCGCCUCCCUGCCUCCCAAACCAUAUUCUGCUGAUUCAAAAGGCCACUGAGACUCCAUGGUAAUGGAAAAGCAUGAUGGGGCCAUCAGAGAAAGUCAAGAAAUAUUGUGGCUGAUAUUGCUUUGGUUGAUGUCCAACACAAUAUGCGGUAAUAUAUCAGCCGAGCUGUUGAAAGCCAUUAUGGGAUUCAUUAUGUGAUGUAGAUAAACAAUUGAUUGAUCCACCCUGGUGUCAAUAAUCAGCAACAAACCAAGUUACGGAUUAAACAUAUGAGUUACUCAUAUCUAACCAGC